UCGACCGAAGCAGUUUCAAUGAAGUUUUCGGAUGGAUUUGAAAUUGACUUAGCGGCGGACGGGUGAGUAACGCGUGGGUAACCUGCCUUACACUGGGGGAUAACAGUUAGAAAUGACUGCUAAUACCGCAUAAGCGCACAGGGCCGCAUGGCCUGGUGUGAAAAACUCCGGUGGUGUAAGAUGGACCCGCGUCUGAUUAGGUAGUUGGUGGGGUAACGGCCCACCAAGCCGACGAUCAGUAGCCGACCUGAGAGGGUGACCGGCCACAUUGGGACUGAGACACGGCCCAAACUCCUACGGGAGGCAGCAGUGGGGAAUAUUGGACAAUGGGCGAAAGCCUGAUCCAGCGACGCCGCGUGAGUGAAGAAGUAUUUCGGUAUGUAAAGCUCUAUCAGCAGGGAAGAAAAUGACGGUACCUGACUAAGAAGCCCCGGCUAACUACGUGCCAGCAGCCGCGGCAAUACGUAGGGGGCAAGCGUUAUCCGGAUUUACUGGGUGUAAAGGGAGCGUAGACGGUUAAGCAAGUCUGAAGUGAAAGCCCGGGGCUCAACCCCGGUACUGCUUUGGAAACUGUUUGACUUGAGUGCAGGAGAGGUAAGUGGAAUUCCUAGUGUAGCGGUGAAAUGCGUAGAUAUUAGGAGGAACACCAGUGGCGAAGGCCGGCUUACUGGACUGUAACUGACGUUGAGGCUCGAA
rnacentral:rRNA from 1 species